rnacentral:rRNA from 1 species
GAGUUUGAUCAUGGCUCAGGACGAACGCUGGCGGCGUGCCUAACACAUGCAAGUCGAACGGAAUUAAGUUUAACACCGAGCGUUUCGUUUGGUGGAGACGCCUUACCGAACGGUGGGUGUUGAACUUAAUUUAGUGGCGGACGGGUGAGUAACGCGUGAGUAACCUGCCUUUCAGAGGGGGAUAACGUCUGGAAACGGACGCUAAUACCGCAUGACAUAUCUUGGUCGCAUGGCCGGGAUAUCAAAGGAGCAAUCCGCUGAAAGAUGGACUCGCGUCCGAUUAGCUAGUUGGUGAGAUAAAGGCCCACCAAGGCGACGAUCGGUAGCCGGACUGAGAGGUUGAACGGCCACAUUGGGACUGAGACACGGCCCAGACUCCUACGGGAGGCAGCAGUGGGGGAUAUUGCACAAUGGAGGAAACUCUGAUGCAGCAACGCCGCGUGAGGGAAGACGGUUUUCGGAUUGUAAACCUCUGUCCUUGGUGACGAAACAAUGACGGUAGCCAAGGAGGAAGCUCCGGCUAACUACGUGCCAG